CAAAGGCAUGGCGGGUGUUCCUAUUCGAUUCAUCUUUGGCUUCAAGUCAAGGAUGCAAAGAAUUUGGUUCUGAGAUUAUACCGUACAUAUGAACUUGAUCUAGAUAAUUCUAGCGAAAGGACAUGCUUCCUCUUCCUU
rnacentral:ncRNA from 1 species